CGUAGGCGCAAGCGUUAUCCGGAAUUAUUGGGCGUAAGAGCUUGUAGGCGGUUCGUCGCGUCUGGUGUGAAAGCCCAUCGCUUAACGGUGGGUCUGCGCCGGGUACGGGCGGGCUAGAGUGCAGUAGGGAGACUGGAAUUCCCGGUGUAACGGUGGAAUGUGUAGAUAUCGGGAAGAACACCAAUGGCGAAGGCAGGUCUCUGGGCUGUUACUGACGCUGAGAAGCGAAAGCGUGGGGAGCGAACAGGAUU
rnacentral:rRNA from 1 species